UUUUCAGGAUAAAACCAACUUAUGCCUGUAGGCAGAGAGCCAGGACAUAACUCUAGGUCUCCUGACACUAAGGAAGAGAUAGGAUAAUCUUUCUGGGCUCAUGGAACUGGACCAAAUAAUUCAUAUUUGUGCCGGGGACCAAACAGAACCCAGGACUUUAGAGAAAAGAUCUCUAGCACUGAUUUAAUCCACAAACUGCCUUUGAGUAUAAGGAGUGAGUCUCUUUGGCUUGCUGGUGAGUACCCUAUCUGUGAUUAUCAUAUUUAUUACCCAAUACUUUCCUAGGUAACUGUAGCUUCAUGUUUGCUGAGUUCCACCUUACUGAUAAAGAAGACAUGGAGGAGAGAUUUCACCAUUGCUUCUACUCAGAUUGUUUUACCCAACUUAUUUAUUGAAUACUUUACUUUUUUAUUUGACUUUGUGUAUUAUGCAUGUGUAUGUACAUUUUGUGUAUGUAUUUAUGUACGUGUGUAUGUCGGGGUUUGGGGUGCCCAUGCCUGAGCAUAUAGAGGCUAGAUUCAAAGUCGGUAUCUUUCUCAAUCUUUCACCACCUUAUUCUUUCAGACAGGCUCGCUGGCUAGACUAG
rnacentral:lncRNA from 1 species